rnacentral:rRNA from 1 species
GGCGGCGUGCUUAACACAUGCAAGUCGAGCGGAAAGGCCCUUCGGGGUACUCGAGCGGCGAACGGGUGAGUAACACGUGAGUAACCUGCCCCGGGCUCUGGGAUAACUGUCGGAAACGAUGGCUAAUACCGGAUAUACACAUUUGGCCGCAUGGUUGGUGUGGAAAGUUUUGCGGCUUGGGAUGGGCUCGCGGCCUAUCAGCUUGUUGGUGGGGUGAUGGCCUACCAAGGCUUCGACGGGUAGCCGGCCUGAGAGGGCGACCGGCCACACUGGGACUGAGACACGGCCCAGACUCCUACGGGAGGCAGCAGUGGGGAAUAUUGCACAAUGGGCGGAAGCCUGAUGCAGCGACGCCGCGUGAGGGAUGACGGCCUUCGGGUUGUAAACCUCUUUCAGCAGGGACGAAGCGCAAGUGACGGUACCUGCAGAAGAAGCGCCGGCCAACUACGUGCCAGCAGCCGCGGUAAGACGUAGGGCGCGAGCGUUGUCCGGAUUUAUUGGGCGUAAAGAGCUCGUAGGCGGCUCGUUGCGUCAACCGUGAAAACCCGGGGCUUAACUUCGGGCUUGCGGUUGAUACGGGCAGGCUGGAGUUCGGUAGGGGAGACUGGAAUUCCUGGUGUAGCGGUGAAAUGCGCAGAUAUCAGGAGGAACACCGGUGGCGAAGGCGGGUCUCUGGGCCGAUACUGACGCUGAGGAGCGAAAGCGUGGGGAGCGAACAGGAUUAGAUACCCUGGUAGUCCACGCUGUAAACGUUGGGCGCUAGGUGUGGGGGGCCUCUCCGGUUUCCUGUGCCGUAGCUAACGCAUUAAGCGCCCCGCCUGGGGAGUACGGCCGC